rnacentral:rRNA from 1 species
GCAUAUCAAUAAGCGGAGGAAAGAAACCAACAGGGAUUGCCUCAGUAACGGCGAGUGAAGCGGCAACAGCUCAAAUUUGAAAUCUGGCCCUUUCAGGGUCCGAGUUGUAAUUUGUAGAAGAUGCUUUGGGUGUGGCUCCGGUCUAAGUUCCUUGGAACAGGACGUCAUAGAGGGUGAGAAUCCCGUAUGUGACUGGCUGCCUCCGCCCGUGUAAAGCUCUUUCGACGAGUCGAGUUGUUUGGGAAUGCAGCUCAGAAUGGGUGGUAAAUUUCAUCUAAAGCUAAAUAUUGGCCAGAGACCGAUAGCGCACAAGUAGAGUGAUCGAAAGAUGAAAAGCACUUUGGAAAGAGAGUUAAACAGUACGUGAAAUUGUUGAAAGGGAAGCGCUUGCAAUCAGACUUGCGCGCGGCCGAUCAUCCGGGGUUCUCCCCGGUGCACUCGGCCGCGCUCAGGCCAGCAUCGGUUUUGGUGGUGGGAUAAAGGCCUUGGGAAUGUAGCUCCUCUCGGGGAGUGUUAUAGCCCUCGGUGCAAUGCCGCCUACCGGGACCGAGGACCGCGCUUCGGCUAGGAUGCUGGCGUAAUGGUUGCAAGCGACCCGUCUUGAAACACGGACCAAGGAGUCUAACAUUUAUGCGAGUGUUUGGGUGUUAAACCCAUVCGCGUAAUGAAAGUGAACGGAGGUGAGAACCCUUAAGGGUGCAUCAUCGACCGAUCCUGAUGUCUUCGGAUGGAUUUGAGUAAGAGCAUAACUGUUGGGACCCGAAAGAUGGUGAACUAUGCCUGAAUAGGGUGAAGCCAGAGGAAACUCUGGUGGAGGCUCGCAGCGGUUCUGACGUGCAAAUCGAUCGUCAAAUUUGGGUAUAGGGGCGAAAGACUAAUCGAACCAUCUAGUAGCUGGGUUCCUGCCGAAGU